CUACGGGAUGCACCAGUGGGGAAUAUUGCACAAUGGGCGCAAGCCUGAUGCAGCCAUGCCGCGUGUAUGAAGAAGGCCUUCGGGUUGUAAAGUACUUUCAGCGGGGAGGAAGGGAGUAAAGUUAAUACCUUUGCUCAUUGACGUUACCCGCAGAAGAAGCACCGGCUAACUCCGUGCCAGCAGCCGCGGUAAUACGGAGGGUGCAAGCGUUAAUCGGAAUUACUGGGCGUAAAGCGCACGCAGGCGGUUUGUGUAAGUCAGAUGUGAAAUCCCCGGGCUCAACCUGGGAACUGCAUCUGAUACUGGAAAGCUCGAGUCUCGUAGAGGGGGGUAGAAUUCCAGGUGUAGCGGUGAAAUGCGUAGAGAUCUGGAGGAAUACCGGUGGCGAAGGCGGCCCCCUGGACGAAGACUGACGCUCAGGUGCGAAAGCGUGGGGAGCAAACAGGAUUAGAUACCCGGGUAGUC
rnacentral:rRNA from 1 species